rnacentral:rRNA from 1 species
AUUGAACGCUGGCGGCAGGCCUAACACAUGCAAGUCGAACGAGUGGCGGACGGGAGAGUUAUGUCUGGGAACCUGCCUGAUGGAGGGGGAUAACUUCUGGAAACGGUAGAUAAUACCGCAUACCAUCGGAUGUGCCCAGAUGGGAUUAGCUAGUAGGUGGGGUAAAGGCUCACCUAGGCGACGAUCCCUAGCUGGUCUGAGAGGAUGAACAGCCACACUGGAACUGAGACACGGUCCAGACUCCUACGGGAGGCAGCAGUGGGGAAUAUUGCACAAUGGGCGCAAGCCUGAUGCAGCCAGGCCGCGUGUAUGAAGAAGGCCUUCGGGUUGUAAAGUACGUUCAGCGGGGAGGCGUUACCCGCAGAAGAAGCACCGGCUAACGCCGUGCCAGCAGCCGCGGUAAUAC